CGGGAUUGUAGGUGAACCUGCAGAAGGAUCAUUA
rnacentral:rRNA from 1 species